CACAGAGCCUACAUGGUGCUCAAUUCCACAAACUAUAAAGACAAUCCAAAGAAGGAAUUACACACCAAGGAAUGAAGAGAAAUUUCCCAAUUCAAAGACGGAAGAGCGGUGUCUAUCUGGGACUCUGGAUGGUGGGAGCAGGGAAUUGAACAACAAAAGGACACAAAUUAGGAAGAAACAAGUGGUGCACUUUUCCAUUGGAUUGACAAUAUGAAGAUAUUCAUAUGCUUUACACAGGGAGCUACAAUUCCUCAACAAGAUACAUUUUCAGAAUCUGGGAACAAGAAGCUUGAUUACUGUGGCUUCAAUAUUUAUAUUAACUAUGAAAUACAAAGUGGAGAACGGAUGGGCCAAGUAUCAACAUCCUGGCAGGUGUCUGAAUGAAGUGGAUGUUAUUACUUGGCUGCUUUCCCUGCAGAGUAAGGAGCUCAACGUGCCAGGUGCAUAAAACUUUACAACCCAGUGACGUCUCACGCACCUAGCAAAGUGUUCUGUGUAUAUUCACAUCAUGGUGUGCUACACAAUUCAGGAAACCCUCACAAAAGCCAUGGUUUGGGAUUAACACAGCAGAGGUAGCCCUGAGUUCCCAAAUAGGUGGGAAGAAACACAAAGCCAAGGGAAAUGUCCUGAAGUUAAAGAUAAUGAAAGAAAGCAUCCUUUAAUUUUGUGAAAAUAACAAUCCCAGGACCUGAAGCAUAAUUAGUUUCUAAUUUAUGCCUAUAUAAAGGAUACAUUUAGUUCAAAUGGUAAGAUCUUCAUUGUCCAAUAUGGUACCAAACAAAUACUAGCCACCCGUAGAGUCUGAGCACUUGUAACUGGUUUGAAUAGAGAUGAACUGCAGCUAAAUACACAUCUGGUUUUAGGGGCGCCUGGGUGGCUCAGUCAGUUAAGCGUCCAACUUCAGCUCAGGUCAUGAUCUCAU